GACGAACGCUGGCGGCGUGCUUAACACAUGCAAGUCGAACGGGAAGGGCCUGCUUUUGUGGGGUGCGCGAGUGGAGAGCGGGAGAGUAACACGUGGGUAACCUGACCAUAACUGUGAACUAACUUCAGGACACUGGGGCUAAUGCCGGAUAGGAGCGCCUGCUGCAUGGGGGGGGUUGGAAAGUUUCGGCGGAGGGGGAUGGGCUCGAGGCUUAUCAGCCUGUUGGUGGGGUAGUGGCUUAGCACGGCUUUGACGGGUAGCCGGCCGUAGCGGGUGACCGGCCACCUUGGUACUGCGGUGCGGCGCAGACGCCUCCGGGAGGCAGCAGUGGGGAGUAUUGUACCGUGGGCGGAGGCCGGAUGCAGCAACGCCGCGUGCGGGAUGAAGGCGUUCGGGUUGUAGUCCGCUUCCUCCUGUGAAGAAGCGAGAGUGACGGUAACGGGUAAAGAAGCACCGGCUAACUAUGUG
rnacentral:rRNA from 1 species